GCCGAGGUAGCUCAGCUGGGAGAGCGUCAGACUGAAGAUCUGAAGGUGCCUGGUUCGACCCCGGGUUCGCAGCCGUUUUGGCG